GGUUAAGCGACUAAGCGUACACGGUGGAUGCCCUGGCAGUCAGAGGCGAUGAAGGGCGUGCUAAUCUGCGAUAAGCGCCGGUAAGGUGAUAUGAACCGUUAUAACCGGCGAUACCCGAAUGGGGAAACCCAGUGUGAUUCGUCACACUAUCAUUAACUGAAUCCAUAGGUUAAUGAGGCGAACCGGGGAACUGAAACAUCUAAGUACCCCGAGGAAAAGAAAUCAACCGAGAUUCCCCCAGUAGCGGCGAGCGAACGGGGAGGAGCCCAGAGCCUGAAUCAGCAUGUGUGUUAGUGGAAGCGUCUGGAAAGGCGCGCGAUACAGGGUGACAGCCCCGUACACAAAAGCGCAUGUGCUGUGAGCUCGAUGAGUAGGGCGGGACACGUGGUAUCCUGUCUGAAUAUGGGAGAUCAUCCUCCAAGGCUAAAUACUCCUGACUGACCGAUAGUGAACCAGUACCGUGAGGGAAAGGCGAAAAGAACCCCGGCGAGGGGAGUGAAAAAGAACCUGAAACCGUGUACGUACAAGCAGUGGGAGCCCCACCACCAAAGCAUUCUCUGGUGUUGAAGGCCCUGCAAAGCAGCAUCGCGGUGGCGGAGCGUCGUUUGCGACGCCCAACACACAAAACAAGCGGUGAGUGCUUUGGGGUGGGGUGACUGCGUACCUUUUGUAUAAUGGGUCAGCGACUUAUAUUCUGUAGCAAGGUUAACCGAAUAGGGAGCCGGAGGGAAACCGAGUCUUAAUUGGGCGUUAAGUUGCAGGGUAUAGACCCGAAACCCGGUGAUCUCAGCCAUGGGCAGGUUGAAGGUUGGGUAACACUAACUGGAUGAAUCGAACCGACUAAUGUUGAAAAAUUAGCGGAUGACCUGUGGCUGGGGGUGAAAGGCCAAUCAAACCGGGAGAUAGCUGGUUCUCCCCGAAAGCUAUUUAGGUAGCGCCUCGUGAAUUCAUCUCCGGGGUAGAGCACUGUUUCGGCUAGGGGGCCAUCCCGGCUUACCAACCCGAUGCAAACUGCGAAUACCGGAGAAUGUUAUCACGGGAGACACACGGCGGGUGCUAACGUCCGUCGUGAAGAGGGAAACAACCCAGACCGCCAGCUAAGAUCCCAAAGUCAUGGUUAAGUGGGAAACGAUGUGGGAAGGCCCAGACAGCCAGGAUGUUGGCUUAGAAGCAGCCAUCAUUUAAAGAAAGCGUAAUAGCUCACUGGUCGAGUCGGCCUGCGCGGAAGAUGUAACGGGGCUAAACCAUGCACCGAAGCUGCGGCAGCGACACUCAGGUGUUGUUGGGUAGGGGAGCGUUCUGUAAGCCUGCGAAGGUGGCCUGUGAGGGUUGCUGGAGGUAUCAGAAGUGCGAAUGCUGACAUAAGUAACGAUAAAGCGGGUGAAAAGCCCGCUCGCCGGAAGACCAAGGGUUCCUGUCCAACGUUAAUCGGGGCAGGGUGAGUCGACCCCUAAGGCGAGGCCGAAAGGCGUAGUCGAUGGGAAACGGGUUAAUAUUCCCGUACUUGGUGUUACUGCGAAGGGGGACGGAGAAGGCUAUGUUGGCCGGGCGACGGUUGUCCCGGUUUAAGCGUGUAGGUGUGUGUUCCGGUAAAUCCGGUUCACUUUAACACUGAGGCGUGAUGACGAGGCACUACGGUGCUGAAGCAACAAAUGCCCUGCUUCCGUGAAAAGCCUCUAAGCAUCAGGUAACAUCAAAUCGUACCCCAAACCGACACAGGUGGUCAGGUAGAGAAUACCAAGGCGCUUGAGAGAACUCGGGUGAAGGAACUAGGCAAAAUGGUGCCGUAACUUCGGGAGAAGGCACGCUGACACGUAGGUGAAGUGAUUUACUCAUGGAGCUGAAGUCAGUCGAAGAUACCAGCUGGCUGCAACUGUUUAUUAAAAACACAGCACUGUGCAAACACGAAAGUGGACGUAUACGGUGUGACGCCUGCCCGGUGCCGGAAGGUUAAUUGAUGGGGUCAGCGCAAGCGAAGCUCCUGAUCGAAGCCCCGGUAAACGGCGGCCGUAACUAUAACUAUCCUAAGGUAGCGAAAUUCCUUGUCGGGUAAGUUCCGACCUGCACGAAUGGCGUAAUGAUGGCCGGGCUGUCUCCACCCGAGACUCAGUGAAAUUGAACUCGCUGUGAAGAUGCAGUGUACCCGCGGCAAGACGGAAAGACCCCGUGAACCUUUACUAUAGCUUGACACUGAACAUUGAGCCUUGAUGUGUAGGAUAGGUGGGAGGCUUUGAAGUGUGGACGCCAGUCUGCAUGGAGCCGACCUUGAAAUACCACCCUUUAAUGUUUGAUGUUCUAACGUGACCCGUAAUCCGGGUUGCGGACAGUGUCUGGUGGGUAGUUUGACUGGGGCGGUCUCCUCCUAAAGAGUAACGGAGGAGCACGAAGGUUGGCUAAUCCUGGUCGGACAUCAGGAGGUUAGUGCAAUGGCAUAAGCCAGCUUGACUGCGAGCGUGACGGCGCGAGCAGGUGCGAAAGCAGGUCAUAGUGAUCCGGUGGUUCUGAAUGGAAGGGCCAUCGCUCAACGGAUAAAAGGUACUCCGGGGAUAACAGGCUGAUACCGCCCAAGAGUUCAUAUCGACGGCGGUGUUUGGCACCUCGAUGUCGGCUCAUCACAUCCUGGGGCUGAAGUAGGUCCCCAAGGGUAUGGCUGUUCGCCAUUUAAAGUGGUACGCGAGCUGGGUUUAGAACGUCGUGAGACAGUUCGGUCCCUAUCUGCCGUGGGCGCUGGAGAACUGAGGGGGCUGCUCCUAGUACGAGAGGACCGGAGUGGACGCAUCACUGGUGUUCGGGUUGUCAUGCCAAUGGCACUGCCCGGUAGCUAAAUGCGGAAGAGAUAAGUGCUGAAAGCAUCUAAGCACGAAACUUGCCCCGAGAUGAGUUCUCCCUGAGACUUUAAGUCUCCUGAAGGAACGUUGAAGACGACGACGUUGAUAGGCCGGGUGUGUAAGCGCAGCGAUGCGUUGAGCUAACCGGUACUAAUGAACCGUGAGGCUUAACCUU
rnacentral:rRNA from 1 species